UACGCAGGCCUUUGCCGUCUCUCGUCUCGAGCUUCUCGCUCACAACCAAUCACGUUCUUCUGGAGGUCACUAGUUCCUAAUUGAUUUCAGCUGCGUCUCCCCCGCCUCUCCUCAUAAAGCGCCCCCACCGUGACGGUUGUUAAUCGGUUUUUUUUGCGUUGGAUUGCGUGGGCUGAACAAUCCGGACAUCGUGGCCACCGACGUGGACCCCCUCGCCACCGGGACCCACGCACACCGACCACCACACUGGGAAGUGUCCUCUGCUCACUGUGGAAGCAGCAUGGAAGAACUGCAUCAACUCUGAUGGAAACGAGGGCCUCCACGCUGUUGAACACAAACUGUUGUAGGCCUACUACAAACCGAGGCGGUCCCACUCGGUUAAAGAUCUCGUGGUCAAUGCGGCAGAACGCUGGACCUGGACGUCACCUUCUGCAGAUACUUCACUGCCCUCAGGAAUCCACGGAUAACUUGAAACAUCCAGGAUGGAAACUUGUGGAAGGAAGAAAGGGGUCUGCUUUUGCUCAACCCAUAACUGAGCCCUUCUGUGGAAACCUGUCUGACUGACCCUACUGACUGGGGGCCUGUUGAUGUGUGUUUGGUUGGUCUGGAAGAAGGUUAGCUGCUUGUGAUCUGCAAGGUGGUCCUGGGUUAGAUGCGGCGUCUGACUUGCACACCACUCUCCCAAUUCUAUUCUUCUCUUUACUACUUUUCUACUUUCAAUACACUUGCUGCUGCUGCUGUUGACCGCUGGUGGUGCGGUUUUUAUUCGCGUAUGUUCUGUGCACUUUGCAUUUGUAUUUUAAUGAACAUGUUUACUGCCUGUUAGACCUCGGAUUGGCAAACCUAAACUCCUUCACUGGCAAAAUGUAGAUGCAAAUUAAAUGCCAAAAUUAACAUUUCAAUAUUCGUUUUGCGUAUUUCACCAAUAGCUUCGGAACUAGACGGACCUCGUAUAUAAUUUGCUCUUCAAAGAUGCGGUCAGGCGCCCCUCCGUUAUAUAACGUUUUCUGCCCGGUACGAAAUAGACUGACCAAUAGCAACCCUUCAGGCUAUCUAAUGUGAGGUUGGAUAUACGCAACAUGUAGAGGUGUUUCAACAACAAAGAUGGAAGUUAGUGAGUGAACUAAAGACUGUAUAUGCUCACUAAAAGAACGGCUACUAAGAUUUUGAGGAAUAUGUAUUUCUGCAUCACCCGUUCCAAUGCUAUGGUUAGUCGAGGCCUAUCAAUAGGGCGCGGGAUCCGCGUUGCAUUGUGGGACGUGUUGAUGCCAUGUUGAUGGCUAUGCGAACGUUAACAUAACUCUGACAUAACGUUGUUGAACGAAGAGAAGUAGCAGUAGAGUUGAGAAAGAAUAGCUAGAAAAAAUAUGUUAAAAUCCCGAAAAGGAUCUGGAAUUUACCGGGACACAUUAAAUAGAGAUGCCAGGGACCGGUAUGGUGACAACAUCAGCAUUAUUAAUAAUUUGGAUCCAUAUGAAGUUAGUAGUCGGAGUAGCGGCAGGUAGCGGUAAAGGAGGCCAUCAACAUGAUGACCCGGUGACCUUGGGUGUCUUGAAAGGCGCCUUUAAAUUAAAUGUAUUAUUAACAUGGCGGCCACGCAAAGUAAUUACGUCACGACACCCAAGCCCUAUAGCAUCGACCCAUUUUAGAUCGCGCCCUUUAGACACGCCCCUUGGAAAUUGAACAACGCACUUCAACGCAGAGGAUCCAGAAGGAUUUCACAACGAGUCCAUUGGAAGAUAUCGAGGAACAUGAACCAAUGAAGGAGAGUAACGUUUCCACUUGCUAUAGGAAUUUAGUGAAGCACUAAAUAGUUAAUAAUGAUAAAAUGUGGUCACCAUUUAUUGACUCGUUGGGUAAGACUUGCUUUACUAAUAUAACCGCGUUAAAACCGCAUUCAUUUACUUUUCUUGUGUAGUUUCCCACUAUUCAUUAAAUGUUUUAUAGAAGUAAAAAAGUAAUCAAUAGAACUAUACACAUUUGUACAACAAUUAAUCAUUAUACAGGAUUUGAACAUUUCCUAUUCGAGCUCAUGCUUCAUAAUAUUUCCAAGGAUUGCAGAGUACCAAAUGAUUUAUGAACAGUUGUUUUUGUUCAGGAGCGGAUUGUACUCCCAGAGGCUUCAACAGAGCGGGUCUGGAGCUGGGAGCUGCAGGUGGAUGGUGGCCAGGAGCCGUUCAGUCCUACAGGAACAGACGGUAGAGGUGAUGGAGGCGGUCUUCUGGAGGUCCGUGGCGUCGUCUGGAGGUCCGUGGCGGUCGUCUGGAGGUGCUCGCCGUGAGGUCCGUGGCGGUCGUCUGGAGGCGCUCGCCGUGAGGUCCGUGGCGUCGUCUGGAGGCGCUCGCCGUGAGGUCCAUGGCGGUCGUCUGGAGGUCCGUGGCGGUCGUCUGGAGGCGCUCGCCGUGAGGUCCGUGGCGGUCGUCUGGAGGUGCUCGCCGUGAGGUCCGUGGCGGUCGUCUGGAGGCGCUCGCUGCAGGCGGAGGGAAGGCCGGGAGCCUUGCAGCCCAACGGAUGCAGAACGAAGGACUGAGGCGCAGGUCCUGGAGGCAGAGGCCAGCCUGGAGGCGGCGGUGGCCUGGAGGUCCUGGAGGCGUCCAACCUGGAAGGGGCGGCAUGGAGGGCCAGGUGGCGGCUCCUCAUCCAAAGGGCGUCCUGGAGGGCCCGGCGGCGGCGUCCUGGAGGGCCCGGUGGCGGCCUGGAGGGCCCGGCGGCGGCGGCGUCCUGGAGGGCCCGGCGGCGGCGGCGUCCUGGAGGGCCCGACGGCGGCGGCUCCUCAUCCAGUUAAGCUAAACUCUUCUCCAGUGCAUCAUGAACGGGGAGGAAUGUCCGGGGUGCAAAUAGAACGUGUGUCACGUUUCAGAAGAAAUGAGGCGACGUUGCGGAGGUCCAGGCGGUCGGCCCGGUGGAGGUCCUGGAGGAGACGGUCCCGGCGGUGGAGGUCCUGGAGGAGACGGUCCCGGCGCUGGAGGUCCAGGCGGUUGGCCCGGUGGAGGUCCUGGAGGAGACGGUCCCGGCGGUGGAGUCCUGGAGGAGACGGUCCCGGCGGUGGAGGUCCAGGCGGUUGGCCCGGUGGAGGUCCUGGAGGAGACGGUCCCGGCGGUGGUGGUCCUGGAGGAGACGGUCCCGGCGGUGGAGGUCCUGGAGGAGACGGUCCCGGCGGUGGAGGACGGUUGGGGGAUCCGGCGGUGGAGGUCCGGAGGCGGCUCGUGAUUAGACCAACCAGCUCCUCAUCCAUGGAAGGAUUGAAGGAGUCACUGGGAUGGAGAUCACUGCUCAGGGGCUGACGACCACUCAUCUUUCCGGAGAAGCGUCCUCAAGGUGCAGGCGGUCAAACCUCCACCUCUUUGAAGACACCAAGCAGCUUGAUGACUGACUGGUUCUUUAUACUCAAGACCUCGUCCCGGAGCAGAGGACGGACCUAAGGCCCGCAGUGCAGCCGACUAGAGACUCCAUGUGGAACCGAGAAUAAGAUCUGACUUCAUCCAAUCAGCGGGAGGUCCUUGAACAAGAGCCAAUGGCUGAAGGUGCUCAAACGCAUUCUUUUGACUCCCUCCUCUACUAUUGCUGUAAUCAAGCUGGAUGACUAUUUUGCUCUUUCUACUGACAAAAUCAAGUCUGCCACCUGGAGGCUGAUGAGGGCGUAGUAACUCGGGGUUCAAUAAUGUUGACCUCUCCUUCAGGCGACUUAAAGGGAGACCAGAUGUGCGGCAGCUGGGUGUCACGGUGCAGAGACCCAACGCUGUACUGAACUACACCAGUGUGUCCUACUCCCAUAAACCCUGAGGAUCCCUGGAUGGCUACACCAGCACAUUAAUCCACACCCAACAUCCACACACAGUGCACACUCUAUAGAGCUCGUAAGUCCGCCCCUUACGGCGGGACCUCGUGAGAUCGUAAGAUAUGACUGGGUUUCAAUGGAGAGAAAGUAAUUAUUUUCUCCAUUUUAUGUUGCACCACAUUUUGGGGGAAGAAUGUUUGAAUCAAUCUGUCAUUUAUUUCUGUACUCCAUAUCUGUAAUCCCAGCUGUUGUAUUUUAACACGGUAGCUGGGAACCCUCUUUAUAGGGCGCGACUAGAGGGACGAGGCUGGAAGCAAACCUGAGCCUGGAUCUUAACCUUCUUUCUAAACCUAAUGCCGCAUUUUAACCGCAAAUAAAGUGAGGCUUAAAGUAACUUGACUCCCUUACCUAAACUCGCUUGUCUAAACUCGCUUGCAUAAAACCUAAACUCGCUUGCAUAAAACCUGAACUGGCUUGGCUAAACUCGCGUCGCUUCCCUAAUACCUGAACUUGCUUGCCUAAACUCCCUUGUCUAAACUCGCUUGCAUAAAACCUAAACUCGCUUGCAUAAAACCUGAACUUGCUUGGCUAAACUCGCGUCGCUUCCCUAAUACCUGAACUCGCUUGCCUAAACUCGCUUGCCUAAACUCGCUUGCAUAAAACCUAAACUCGCUUGCAUAAAACCUGAACUCGCUUGGCUAAACUCGCGUCGCUUCCCUAAUACCGGAACUCGCUUGCCUAAACUCGCUUGCCUGAACUCGCUUGCAUAAAACCUAAACUCGCUUAGCUUGACUCGCUUGUCGGUACUCGCUUGCAUAAAACCUAAACUCGCUUGCAUAAAACCUAAACUCGCUUGGCUUGAUUCGCUUGCCUGUACUCGCUUGGCUAAACUCGCUUGCCUAAAACCUAAACUUGCUUGUCCAAACAUGUUACACAAAGUUAACCAUCCAUAAUCUUUAACCCAAACCAGACUUGUCCCUGGGUCGCUCCACUUUAAUUUAGAAGUUUCUUCUUUUACCUCAUCUGCGUUUUGAGUUUCAUUCUUUGAGGGCUUGAAGUGCUUUGGAGGAUAUUUGAACCUUUUGUUUGCCGCAUCAAUAAACAUGCUUUAUCUUUACCCAUUUUGUUUUGUAUUGCAUUUCUAUGUGUAAUCCGGCCAAAUGUUCAGUGUCCUUGCAUGUAAUGUCUAUGGUCUGACGAUAAUCUGACCUCUUCAUGAAGCAGAAUGUGUGUGAAUGUUGUCCCGUGAGCUCCAGGCUCUCUGUGGGCCUGUCAACGUCUCUUUAGCAAAAGGUUGGAGAGUGAAAUUCAUUUUUGUGCCAUUUUCAUGUGUUCCUGAGUAUUUCAGACCUGUGGUGUUUCACAUGAGACCUUAAUGGGAACUUUUCUUUUUCUGCCUGCAGACGUAAUGCCAUCACUGUUGAUCCCAAUAUUGAUCAUUAACCACCUCAUUCUUUGGGAUUACAAAUCAAGUAAUUUAUGAGCAUAUUUGCAAAUGCCUCAAUAUCAGAUUGUGUAAAAACGAAUGAAAUGUAACCUGCUUGAUUUAAAGAAAUUAAAACAUCCAAAUAUUUUAAA